UACGGGGGGGGCAAGCGUUGUUCGGAAUUACUGGGCGUAAAGGGCGCGUAGGCGGCCUGCUAAGUCGAACGUGAAAUCCCCGGGCUCAACCCGGGAACUGCGUCCGAUACUGGCAGGCUUGAAUCCGGGAGAGGGAUGCGGAAUUCCAGGUGUAGCGGUGAAAUGCGUAGAUAUCGGAAGGAACAUCAGUGGCGAAAGCGACUUCCUGGACCAGUACCGACGUUCAGGCACGAAAGCGUGGGGAGCAAACAGG
rnacentral:rRNA from 1 species